rnacentral:tRNA from 1 species
AAUAAAGUACCUAUUAUAAGGAUUUACACUGAUGAAGUAACCAUGCAUCUAUGCCUUUAUUA